AAAGCGUGCGCAGGCGGUUAUGUAAGACAGAUGUGAAAUCCCCGGGCUCAACCUGGGAACUGCAUUAGUGACUGCAUAGCUGGAGUACGGCAGAGGGGGAUGGAAUUCCGCGUGUAGCAGUGAAAUGCGUAGAUAUGCGGAGGAACACCGAUGGCGAAGGCAGCCCCCUGGGUCAAAACUGACGCUCAUGCACGAAAGCGUGGGGAGCAAACAGGAUUAGAUACCCGAGU
rnacentral:rRNA from 1 species